rnacentral:lncRNA from 1 species
AUAUCUCUAGAAAACCGCGCAGGAGCCCGAAAACAAAGAGUGCGCACGCGCGGCGGCAGGGCCCGGGCAUUUUGCUGCGUCACCAGCCGCCGCCCGGCCUCACCACCCCUCGCUCGCACGCACGCACGUUCAUCCUCCGUCCUCGCGCCCCGAUUCCUACACUUUCCUCUUCUCCGAGACCGGAGGAGCCGCUCUCUCCGCGCAGUGCAUUCUGGGGACCCGGGUCGAGCCCGCCGUCGCCUGAGGGAAGCGAGGAGAGGCCGCGACCGGGAAGAAAGCGCCGAGUCGCCACCGGAGGAGAGUCGACUGCCCGGCAGCUGCCGCCGGAGAGGCCCGCCCACCCGCUCGCCCGGCCCCCCGCCCCGUUCACGAUGUGAGUGCGCCGGCCGGCCGGGGGAAGGUCGCCCCGCGGGGAGGCCGAGGCGGCCCUCCCCUCCCCUCCCCCGCCCUGCGCCCCCUCGGCCUUCUCCCCGCCGCGGCGGCGGGCGUUCGCUCUUGCGGUGGGAGGUCUGGCAUCCUUGUUCCGGUUACCGUUGGCGGGCGGAGGACAUUUUCCCUCCAGAUGUCCUUUUUCCCCACCUCGGACCGGCCCUCGGCUUCCCCACGCCGGAAGCCCCACUUUUCCUCGCUUGCCGGCCCCGGUUGCUCGCACUCCGCAACUUAGCCGUAGGCCUCAGCCCCCGGGAGCUGUGGGCGGUGCGGAGCCUCCUGGAGACCGCUCGGCUGGGGCAGUCCGCUUCUGUGGCUCCGGCGCCGGGCCCGGACCCCGGGCCCCGGACCAGGUGCACCUGCGGGGGGCGCUCCCCGAAGGCCGGCGGCGCUCCUCGCAGAGCAGCACGCGGCCUUCCGCCGCGAGCGACAGGUACUGCUCGGCCACUGCAGGGAGGUCACAACGUCAUCACAACUUCCCCAGCUCUCUCCGGGGUCGUGAUUUCUUGGGAAUGGGUCUUCCCAGGCCUCCCCAACUCCAAGCUUUUGCCGAGAGUGAAGGUUGCCAAAACUCAGCCUUGCCCGUGGCCGCGAGGAGUUAGCCUUGAGCAGGUAGUUCGCACGUGUCGAAUCGAAAGAUCCUUGGGGACGUUUUCUGUGUUCAGCGUUAGACUGGAGGUGAGGUUUCACGAUCCUGUUUUAAUUAAAGGUGAGAUAGGUACGUGA